AGACGGAGGGUGCAAGCGUUAAUCGGAAUUACUGGGCGUAAAGCGCGCGUAGGUGGUUUGAUAAGUCGGAUGUGAAAGCCCCGGGCUCAACCUGGGAACUGCAUUCGAAACUGUCUGACUAGAGUAUGGUAGAGGGAAGUGGAAUUCCGGGUGUAGCGGUGAAAUGCGUAGAUAUCCGGAGGAACAUCAGUGGCGAAGGCGACUUCCUGGACCAAUACUGACGCUGAGGUGCGAAAGCGUGGGGAGCAAACAGGAUUAGAAACCCCAGUAGUCC
rnacentral:rRNA from 1 species